GUGAGGAAUUUUCCGCAAUGGGCGAAAGCCUGACGGAGCAAUGCCGCGUGAAGGAUGAAGGCCUAUGGGUUGUAAACUUCUUUUCUCAGAAAAGAAUUAUGACGGUAUCUGAGGAAUAAGCAUUGGCUAACUCUGUGCCAGCAGCCGCGGUAAGACAGAGGAUGCAAGCGUUAUCCGGAAUGAUUGGGCGUAAAGCGUCUGUAGGUUGUUUAAAAAGUAUUCUGUCAAAGAUUAGGGCUUAACCCUAGAUAGGCAGAAUAAACUUUUAAGCUAGAGUUUGGUAGAGGCAGAGGGAAUUCCCGUUGGAGCGGUGAAAUGCGGAGAUAUCGGGAGGAACACCAAAGGCGAAGGCACUCUGCUGGGCCAAUACUAACACUGAGAGACGAAAGCGAGGGGAGCAAAUGGGAUUAGAUACCCCAGUAGUCC
rnacentral:rRNA from 1 species